rnacentral:rRNA from 1 species
GUAACCUACGGGGCGCAGCAGUGAGGAAUAUUGGUCAAUGGGCGCGAGCCUGAACCAGCCAAGUAGCGUGAAGGAUGACUGCCCUACGGGUUGUAAACUUCUUUUAUAAAGGAAUAAAGUGAGGCACGUGUGCCUUUUUGUAUGUACUUUAUGAAUAAGGAUCGGCUAACUCCGUGCCAGCAGCCGCGGUAAUACGGAGGAUCCGAGCGUUAUCCGGAUUUAUUGGGUUUAAAGGGUGCGUAGGCGGACGCUUAAGUCAGCGGUAAAAUUGCGGGGCUCAACCUCGUCGAGCCGUUGAAACUGGG